GACUAACCUCUCCGGUGGCCUCGUGGUUAAAGCGUCCGCCUCGGAUGCGGGAGGUCGUGGGUUCGAUCCCAAGCCGAGUCA